rnacentral:rRNA from 1 species
UGCAAGUCGGACGAGAAAGGAGACUUCGGUCUCUGAGUACAGUGGCGUACGGGUGCGUAACACGUAAGUAAUCUGCCACGAACUCCAGGAUAACCCUCCGAAAGGAGGGCUAAUACUAGAUAGGGUCCCCGAGGUGAAGGCUGCGGGGGGAAAACGGGCCUCUGCUUCAUGCUCGUGGUUCGGGAUGAGCUUGCGGCCCAUUAGCUUGUUGGUAGGGUAAUGGCUUACCAAGGCUACGAUGGGUAGCUGGUCUGAGUGGAUGAUCAGCCACACUGGCACUGAGACACGGGCCAGACUCCUACGGGAGGCAGCAGUGGGGAAUUUUGCGCAAUGGGCGAAAGCCUGACGCAGUAACGCCGCGUGGAGGAUGAAGGCCUUCGGGUUGUAAACUCCUGUCAGGGGGAACGACGGGGAGAGGGUGAUAAAUCCUUUCCUCCAGACGGUACCUCCAAAGGAAGCCCCGGCUAAUUCCGUGCCAGCAGCCGCGGUAAUACGGAAGGGGCAAGCGUUGUUCGGAAUCAUUGGGCGUAAAGGGCGCGUAGGUGGUUUUGUAUGUCUACCGUGAAAGCAUACAGCUCAACUGUAUUUUGUCGGUAGAAACUGCAGGACUUGAGGCUGGGAGGGGCUGGUGGAAUUCCCUGUGUAGCGGUGAAAUGCGUAGAGAUGGGGGAGAACACUCGUGGCGAAGGCGGCCAGCUAG